GGGGUAACGAGCUUCACUCCAACCCAUGUGAACCAUACCAAACUGUUGCCUCGGCGGGGUCACGCCCCGGGUGCGUCGCAGCCCCGGAACCAGGCGCCCGCCGGAGGGACCAACCAAACUCUUUCUGUAGUCCCCUCGCGGACGUUAUUUCUUACAGCUCUGAGCAAAAAUUCAAAAUGAAUCAAAACUUUCAACAACGGAUCUCUUGGUUCUGGCAUCGAUGAAGAACGCAGCGAAAUGCGAUAAGUAAUGUGAAUUGCAGAAUUCAGUGAAUCAUCGAAUCUUUGAACGCACAUUGCGCCCGCCAGUAUUCUGGCGGGCAUGCCUGUCCGAGCGUCAUUUCAACCCUCGAACCCCUCCGGGGGGUCGGCGUUGGGGAUCGGGAACCCCUAAGACGGGAUCCCGGCCCCGAAAUACAGUGGCGGUCUCGCCGCAGCCUCUCCUGCGCAGUAGUUUGCACAACUCGCACCGGGAGCGCGGCGCGUCCACGUCCGUAAAACACCCAACUUCUGAAAUGUUGACCUCGGAUCAGGUAGGAAUACCCGCUGAACUUAAGCAUAUCAAA
rnacentral:rRNA from 1 species